GACUGACCAUUUUAUUUUGGCUGUUGUUAUAGUGCCCAUCCAUAGACAGAUGUCACAAUGCCCCAUCCACCUGGCAGACAUCACAGUGAGUGCCUGCCCAGGCAAGACCAGUAGUGCCGGCCCACCGGCAGACAUCUCAGUGCCAUUCAGAUGGCAGACACUACAUUGUCCAUCCAUGGUACAGAUGCUGUAAUGCCCAUUCAUUCUCUAGCUCUCCCAGUGGACUUCCAUAGGCAGAAGUGACAGUGCCUGUAUAUGUUACCUGGAGCCCGUAUACACACCAACUCUCACAAUGCCUAUCUACACAACCAAAAUUAGAGUACCUUUCCAUACUGCAGACAUCACAGCACCCUUUCUUAAAACAGAUGUCACAGUACCCAUCAGCUCAGUAGAUCUCACGGUACCCAUCCACAGGAGGACCACACUGUCACUGUACACACGGAGACACCCCAGGUGCCAAUUGCACUGCGGAUCUCACAGCGCCUGUCCACAUGGCAAGGUCCAUUCAUAGGCAAAUCUCAGAGAUCUAGCCAGCUCUGUGGAAGACAGACAUCCCUCCCACUUCAGAAAAUCCAUCAAGAGAAAGACUUCACUGUGCCCCUCCACACAGUUGACGUUACGGUGCCUUUCAAAAGAGUAUUGUCCAUCCCCAUCUGGAAGUCGCCACCUGAGUACAGUAUUCUCAAGAUCCAGCCACGGAUGGACAUUGUCAUUCCCAUCCACACUGUGGAUGUCACCGUGCCUGUCCACACAGCAGAUGACGCAGAGCCCAUCCACACAUCAGACGUCACAGUGACCAUCCACAGGGAGACAUCAUCAAAACUACACAGUGUCAAGUUUCAACUUUGAAACAGCAUGAUAAGGAUAAAUUACCUCAAUUGUUCAAUUAGAAGUUCAAAGCCCCCAGGUUCGAUGUACUGGAAGGAGGUACUGCAUAUAGAGACUAUAUUGCUGGACAAAGGGAUGGUCACACCUCUGUGAAAAUACAACAAGUAGUUCAAGGAAUUGUGGAAACAUGAAACCAGGGCACAGAACUACCACUCACCCGUUUCAUGUGAUGGCACCAUUUAAUAUGCAGUGGAGAAACAGGCUACCAAGACGAAGCUAAGAGGCCAGAACAACAUGAACCAUGGAAAAGCUUUUCAUCUAUAUCCUAUGAAGCACCUUGAGGCAAAUGAGGGAAGAAUAUGGAGACCCGUGAGCUGCUCAGGUGAAAAAGUUGCCCACCUGGAGGGGGCUGUAUUUAUCCCUUAUGCUUGAAAGAAACCACUUGAACAGAUGCCUUGAAACUAAUUGUUAAGAUCAAAAGAGAAGAG